AUGUUGUGUGCUGUUGCUCUGUUUCUGCCUCCAUCCAGGCUGAAUAUGAGUCAUCCGGGGCCUAAUGGAGGGAAUGUACACUCGUUCACCAACAGUGGUGCUUUUAACUCUGGGCCACAGGAUGCAGACCUGCAGAGCAGCUGUCCACGGCCACGGCCUCUGUCCCGUCCACAACCCCCCUCUGCUGCUCCUGUGUUCUACGUUCAUGCGCCAACUGCUCCUCCUCCACCUGCAUUCCACUAUCCGUGGCCACUUCCCAUGCCCUUAUUCUUUAACCCCCUUGAGGGCUUCCCCGGCAUGGGCUAUGGCAUUUUCAUGCCACCUUUCCCUCCCUACAUGGAGACUCCAGCCUACAUUAUGCCCCCCCCUCACGUCCAGCCCAUGGACUACAGACGGCUGCUCCACCCUCAGGCCCAUGUGCCUACGGCAGCUCACCAGAACACCAACCAGAUGAGGAGAACCCGCCCGCCUCGUGGUGCAUCUACAGAAACCGUGAACGCUGCGGUCCAGACAGAACUCACUGAAAGACACGCUAAUGAUUAUGGCGACCGAAGCCCACUUGUCCUUCCAGAUUCUGGACAUGGGACUACCUCUGUCUCUCCCUCUUCAAGCUCUAGUUCCAAAAGAAGAGACGCUGCUGAAGCCAAUGACUUUAAGAGUUUGGAACAAAAAGUGAGGAACCUGAUGAGCAGUAAUGGAGACGUGCAGAUUAAUGACGCUAGAACAAAAGUACCGCUCAAACCCAGCUUCAACGUUCAACAUCCUACUCGAUCUGUGGGUACAUCUAUCAGGGCAAUUCUGGACGAUCAGAAGAACCACAAAGAGGGUAGCGCUCAGACGAAUGAUGGUCACUGCAAAGUCUGGUCGAAGCUGCUGCCCUCAGAAAGUCCAAAUGCUCGUGAUAAGUGUGUGGACCAACUCCCAGGCGAGGAUGACUCUUUUGCCAAAGACUGUGAAUGUCUUUACAAAAUUCUGAAACUACCUUUAGUUCGGUCAAGAGAAGAUGCUCAUGAAAUGUCUUCAGGCAACUUCCAGACAAGAAAAAAGAUGGCUGAGGUGUCUCCAAGGGGACAUCUGGUGGACUGUGGCAUCCAGUGUGACCAAAUCCAGUGUUUCUGUGAGAAGAUCAGAAGCAGCAGAGGAACCUGCAGAAGGAAUCUACUCAGACCUUCAGGUGUGAAGUCAAACAAUGGUGGCAGCAAAGUAUUCUGCAUGAAUGGAUCUUCGCAGAAAAACCAGAAUAGUCCUGAAAACCUAACUGGGCAGCAGAUGUCACAUGAUGGGCUCCCUGGCCAAACUGGGAAAAGGGGUGAGCACGGCUCAACCGCUCUCCUUACAGUGGACAGAACUAGAAAUAGAUUCCCGUAAUUCCUGUUGAGGAAUUAUUUGCUUUAAUGUUAUAAAUUUGUGCAAGACAAAUGUGUGCUUAAACACUAAAUACAGAAAUUAGCCUUGAUGAAACUUUUCAUUCAGGAAAUCGCCAGAUUUCAUUGUUCAUUGCUAGUCUCAGGGUUUGGUUUUGCUUUGCUACUCGUCGGUGGAGGAAACCACAAAUGAGGAAAGACAUGAUUUUAUAUUGUCUAAUAAUAAAAUGAUCUAUUUUUUCA
ensembl:lncRNA uncharacterized LOC114844041